ensembl:lncRNA
UUUAUUUGAAUUUUUUUACAGCAAUGACGGCUUGUGGAGCCUCUCAAUAGUUCCCAGAAGUAGCAGCAAACCGAUGCCGCGCCGUAGAGAUGCAGCAGAACAAACCGUUUGCGACGCACUUUUAAAAGACCCAGGUAACUGGCUGAUGGUUCACUGGAAUGCUGACUGGCUGCUGACUGACUGGGUAGUGUCACCUGUCCCUGUCUCUCCUCUCUAGCCAUGUCCUCUAUUUCUUCACUGUCACUUUCCCUUCUCUGAGUGUCCUCAUUCUUUUUUUCCUCAACCUUUGAAACUGAUAGAGGCAGAAUACAUGGCAUUGCUAAUUUUAAAUAUUGAAAAUUUCACAUCACUUCAAAAUUAGAAAUAUUACUUCAACUAGUACGAGUUUGUACUUAUUAUAUAUGUAUUACCUGUAAUACUAUAGCUGUGAUCAGCAGCGAUUUGCUGUAUGUUUACAGGUCUGGGGGUGCAUCGUGGAGCAGGGGCCCUCCUCUUUUUGACCACAGGAUGAUGCACAAAGAUUGUGGAAAUAGCAUCUGGUCUCAGCCUACUCUUGAAUUUUUUGGUCAUGACAAAUUGGUUUGCCUCAAAAUGUGCCUGCAGAGUGACUUGAGUUUAGUUUCCACACACAACUUUUUUUUUUUUUUUUUUUUUUGUCUACCCACAUACGGUACAUAUCACAUGGUGGUUAAAUUCACAGUCAUAGGUAACACUGAUGACUCCCUGCAAUGUCUCACCAUGAGUCUCAGCUCCCUGGGUUUUGCAAGGCUUUGCUUGUUCCUUAUUUCUAGUAAAUAAUUUUCCAUGUAAAAAAGUACAAAUAAAUUUAAGUAUAAUUACCUCACAAAUUUUUUUGUUGUUGUAAUUUUUAUUUAUAUUUAGAUUGCUCCUGCUGACUUGAGCCAACCAUUUUUUUCUCCUCUCCAUGUCAGCAGGGAAGCCAUACAUCUGCACACAUUUCUCUGACCGAGUGGAGCAUCCCCAUGCAGCACAGCAAACCAUGGUGGAGACUAUGCAAGGACAACAUGAAAGAAAGGACACAUACAAAAUGCUUGGCAUGCUAUUCAAUUUAUUAGAAAUGUAUUCAUGAAUUGCUAUAAAUAGUUAAUU